ACUUCUAUUGCAAGAGAACUUCAGUCGAGCUUCUACAAUAAGCGGUCUCCACCCGAGCUUCCACGGCAAUCGAUCUCCAUCCGAGCUUCUACAGUAAGUAGCCUCCUUCUGGACUUCUGUAAGAACCAAACUCCAUCCGAACUUCUACAACGGAUGGACUCCAGACGAACUUCUACAAUAGACGGGCUCCAGCAGCCAAAUUUCUAUAGUGACCGACUGUCUCCGGUGUCUUCCAUGCCUCUCCAGCCAUCAACCUUCAACAGCGCUAACCGGACUUCAAUAGUGCCAACCGGACUCCCCCAGC
rnacentral:lncRNA from 1 species